GUUCUUUCACUCUUUGCAGUAUAUCUUGCUACUGCUCACUCUUUGGGUCCACACUGCUUUUAUGAGCUGUAACACUCACCGCGAAGGUCUGCAGCUUCACUCCUGAGCCAGCGAGACCACGAACCCACCAGAAGGAAGAAACUCGUAAACCCAUCCGAACAUCAGAAGGAACAAACUCCAGAUGCGCUACCUUGAGAGCUGUAACACUUACCGCCAGGGUCCGCGGCUUCAUUCUUGAAGUCAGUGAGACCAAGAACCCACCAAUUCCGGACACACUGGGAGUGUAGUCUCUAUGUCUCAAGAAUUUAGCAAGAUAUUGAUAAAAUUUGGAGGAGGAAGACAUCACAGGGAUAGCGGAAAGGUUUUCAGGAUAAGACCACGGUGUGGAGCGUCAAGGUGUUUUGCCUGGCGCUCUGUAACUGCAUGCUACUUCUCUUUUGUGUGGAGCCACCAUUGCUUCCCUCUGACGUGAUCUGUGUUCAAUCCAGAAAACUACUGUCUUCUGUCAAGAUCAUAAACUGGCCGGGCGCGGUGGCUCACGCCUGUAAUCCCAGCACUUUCGGAGGCCGAGGCGGGCGGAUCACA
rnacentral:lncRNA from 10 species